rnacentral:rRNA from 1 species
GUNCACGCCGUAAACGAUGAGUGCUAGGUGUUAGGCCCUUUCCGGGGCUUAGUGCCGGAGCUAACGCAAUAAGCACUCCGCCUGGGGAGUACGACCGCAAGGUUGAAACUCAAAGGAAUUGACGGGGGCCCGCACAAGCGGUGGAGCAUGUGGUUUAAUUCGAAGCAACGCGAAGAACCUUACCAGGUCUUGACAUCCCGAUGCUAUUCUUAGAGAUAGGAAGUUACUUCGGUACAUCGGAGACAGGUGGUGCAUGGUUGUCGUCAGCUCGUGUCGUGAGAUGUUGGGUUAAGUCCCGCAACGAGCGCAACCCUUAUUGUUAGUUGCCAUCAUUAAGUUGGGCACUCUAGCGAGACUGCCGGUAAUAAACCGGAGGAAGGUGGGGAUGACGUCAAAUCAUCAUGCCCCUUAUGACCUGGGCUACACACGUGCUACAAUGGUCGGUACAACGAGUUGCGAGCCGGUGACGGCAAGCUAAUCUCUGAAAGCCGAUCUCAGUUCGGAUUGGAGGCUGCAACUCGCCUCCAUGAAGUCGGAAUCGCUAGUAAUCGCGGAUCAGCACGCCGCGGUGAAUACGUUCCCGGGCCUUGUACACACCGCCCGUCACACCACGAGAGUUUGUAACACCCGAAGUCGGUGAGGUAACCUUUUAGGGGCCAG